CAGCCGCCCCAUGCCGCCGUCCCCCGCCGCGUCCGCCCCGGCGAGCCGCCACCUGCGACUCUGGUGGCGCCGCCGCGGCCGGGCCGGCGCCGUCGCGGCCACCUUCGCCGCGGCACUCCUCGCCGCGGCCCUCCUCCUCUCGCUCUCCUACUUCGCCUCCCUGCCCCUCGCGCCCGCCUCCUCCGCCCUCGUCGGCCUCACCCUCCUCCGCCGCGCCGAGGAGAAGGGCGCGCUGUGCUUGGAUGGGAGCGCGCCGGGGUACCAUCUGCAGCGAGGGUCAGGGAGUGGCUCUCAGAGCUGGCUCAUCCACUUGGAGGGUGGAGGCUGGUGCCGAAAUUUGAAAUCAUGCGCUUCACGCCAGAAAUCGAUGUUGGGUUCUUCCCAUUACAUGGAACGUCAGGUUGAGUUUGCUGGGAUGUUGAGCGAUGAUGAAGAUCAGAAUCCAGAUUUUCACAACUGGAAUAAAGUGAAGAUAAGGUAUUGUGAUGGGGCAUCAUUUUCUGGGAACGUUAAAGACGAGUUGCAGAACGGCACAAAAUUCUUUUUCAGAGGCCAGCGUAUCUGGGAAGCAGUUAUGGACGAACUUCUAAUGAAGGGGCUCAGACAUGCUAAACAGGCUUUUCUAACAGGAUGCUCUGCUGGUGGGUUAGCCACUUACAUUCACUGUGAUGGUUUUCGGGCACUGCUGCCAAAAGAUUCUAGGGUUAAGUGUCUUGCGGAUGGUGGUUUUUUCCUUGAUGUAGAAGACAUUUCCAAGCAAAGGACCUUGCGGGCUUUCUACAGUGACGUUGUCCGCCUUCAGGAUCUUAAGAGGAAGUUUUUGCACUGCAGUUCAAGCAUGGAUCCAGGCCAGUGCUUCUUUCCUCGUGAGGUUGUUAAAGACAUCAGAACACCAGUAUUUAUUCUUAAUCCAGCAUAUGAUGCCUGGCAGGUACAACAUGUGUUGGCACCAGAAGCAUCAGAUCCCCAACAUUCAUGGCAAGACUGUAGAUUGGAUAUUAGCAAGUGCAGUCCUGACCAACUUGAAAUACUCCAAGGUUUUAGGGAAGAACUGCAUGACGCGAUGAGAGAAAUCAAGCAGAAAAAGGACUGGGGUAUUUUCAUUGACUCCUGCUUUAUACACUGUCAGACGUUGAACUCUUUGACUUGGCACUCUCCAUCUUCUCCUAGAGUCAACAACAAGACCAUGGCAGAAGCAGUUGGAGACUGGUUCUUUGACAGGAGAGAGGUGAAGGAACUAGAUUGCGAAUAUCCGUGCAACCCAACGUGCCACAACUUGGUUUUUUCCAAGCCCUUCAAGGGAUAAAUUUACGAUUCUUUUAAAAAAAAAAUCUUUUCACGGUGAUGUAUCACCUAGCAGUUGUAAAAAUAGCAAAUUAUACAUAUGAAUAUAUCUGGACCGCAGUCAUAGGAGCCAAUUUCAUCAUCUCAAAAAAGAAAGGAGCCAAUUUCAGUGUCAAACGGAGAGGAGCCAGAAGCUGAUUUUGGUGAAUUCAUUCCAGAGGAGCCGUAUAGUGUACUGUAAACCUUUUUAAAAGAUUUCGGGGUGUAAUGAUCUAUAUAUAGUACACACCUUAAAACUGCAGUCUCUAAAUUGCUUCUCCCUUGUGGGCCCCACUUGUCAGUGGGAUACCUUUUUUCUUCUUCUCCUCCCCCUUCUCCCUUUCGGUCUUUCCCCUUCAUUGAGAGAGGUGGCGGGAUGCUCACGACCAUACAUGAAUGCCCAUGUGCUUCUUAUGGCAGUAUCGAACUACAUGAAAGCAUCCAUCUCAUGGUUGUGGCGUCACAUGGUGU